rnacentral:rRNA from 1 species
CGGCGAGCGAAAAGGGAAGAGCCCAGCGCCGAAUCCCCGGCCCUCCGGGUCGAGGGAAAUGUGGCGUACAGGAGUGAGCGUGCCGGGUUCUGGAAGGACGGCAAGUCCCCCUGACCGGGGCCAGUCCAUAGCGGGUGCGAGUCCCUUAUCCGUUCCCUCCGGCCCGUCGUGCGAUCUCCUCGGAGUCGGGUUGCUUGAGAGUGCAGCCCAAAUUUGGUGGUAAACUCCACCUAAGGCUAAAUACCGCCGUGAGACCGAUAGCAAACAAGUACCGUGAGGGAAAGUUGCAAAGAACUUUGAAGAGAGAGUUCAAUAGUACGUGAAACUGCUCAGAGGUAAACGGGUGGGCCCUCGAAGUCCUGUGGCGCGAGGAUUCAGUCCGGAGCCGUGCAGCGGGGUGGAGUGCGUCCUUCGACGGGGCGAGACCAUCCCUUCGGCACCGGACGCAUUUGUCUCGCGUCCGAGGGACGCUGCAGCCGGUCUGGCAGUUUGCAAGCACGUCGGCCAAGACGGGGRCUGAUGGCAGGUGGCCGGUGGCGCUCCUCGUGGGCGUCGCCGGUCGUUAGCCGUGUCCCCGGUGGCGCGUCGCCAGACCGUGGUGUGUCGAGGUCCUCGUGGCCUCCACGUCUCCUCCUCGUGUCGUGGGGCAGAAGGUYGCGGGUGGAACCCGACGGCGGACGGCACUCCUCCGGAGUGGGUUCGUCCGUCAGGGGGCUGCCCUGGUGACCUCGGACCCGCGGGGGAAAGGGGCUGGCAGCGAGUAGGUCGGUCACCCACCCGACCCGUCUUGAAACACGGACCAAGGAGUCUAACAUGUGCGCGAGUCGCCGGGUCUUGGGUAUGCCCGGGGGCGCAACGAAAGCGAAGGUCGAUYCUGUCGACCGAGUCGGGAUCCCCUCUCGAGAUGUGGGGGGCGCACCGACGACCCGUCCCUUCCGGCUCGCCGGUGGGGCGGAGUGUGAGCGUACACGUUGGGACCCGAAAGAUGUUGAACUAUGCCCGGGCAAGCCGAAGCCAGAGGAAACUCUG